rnacentral:rRNA from 1 species
GCGGCGGACGGGUGAGUAAUGCUUAGGAAUCUGCCUAUUAGUGGGGGACAACAUUCCGAAAGGAAUGCUAAUACCGCAUACGCCCUACGGGGGAAAGCAGGGGAUCUUCGGACCUUGCGCUAAUAGAUGAGCCUAAGUCAGAUUAGCUAGUUGGUGGGGUAAAGGCCUACCAAGGCGACGAUCUGUAGCGGGUCUGAGAGGAUGAUCCGCCACACUGGGACUGAGACACGGCCCAGACUCCUACGGGAGGCAGCAGUGGGGAAUAUUGGACAAUGGGCGAAAGCCUGAUCCAGCCAUGCCGCGUGUGUGAAGAAGGCCUUUUGGUUGUAAAGCACUUUAAGCGAGGAGGAGGCUACUUAGAUUAAUACUCUAGGAUAGUGGACGUUACUCGCAGAAUAAGCACCGGCUAACUCUGUGCCAGCAGCCGCGGUAAUACAGAGGGUGCGAGCGUUAAUCGGAUUUACUGGGCGUAAAGCGUGCGUAGGCGGCUUUUUAAGUCGGAUGUGAAAUCCCUGAGCUUAACUUAGGAAUUGCAUUCGAUACUGGGAAGCUAGAGUAUGGGAGAGGAUGGUAGAAUUCCAGGUGUAGCGGUGAAAUGCGUAGAGAUCUGGAGGAAUACCGAUGGCGAAGGCAGCCAUCUGGCCUAAUACUGACGCUGAGGUACGAAAGCAUGGGGAGCAAACAGGAUUAG